ACUCGAGUGGCGAACGGGUGAGUAACACGUGGGUGAUCUGCCCUGCACUUCGGGAUAAGCUUGGGAAACUGGGUCUAAUACCGGAUAGGAGCCAUCUUUAGUGUGGUGGUUGGAAAGUUUUUCGGUGUAGGAUGAGCUCGCGGCCUAUCAGCUUGUUGGUGGGGUAAUGGCCUACCAAGGCGGCGACGGGUAGCCGGCCUGAGAGGGUGUACGGCCACAUUGGGACUGAGAUACGGUCCAA
rnacentral:rRNA from 1 species